UCAUGACAAAAGGGAACCUCCCACCAGCCUGAGGGCGGGACGCUGAGGACCCCAGAGCCCUGCCUCCAGGCUGCUGUCGUAGUGUGACACAGCAACUUCCGAGCAGGAAGGAGAAGCCCGAUCCUAACUGGGGGAAGCUGUUUGCUUAGACAACUUUCUACACUUCAAAUAUUACACCUUAAACAACACACUGGACUAAGAAAUCUGAUCAUGUCCAGGCUUUUAACACCCUCCUCCCCCAAGGAACAAUAAAACACACCAGCGAAAACAAAGAGGCUGCCCUGAAAAGGUUGCAGUGGUGGAUGAUACUGGCAGAAUCAGAAAGGAAGCUAAGAGAAACAGGCGCGUCCUCAGCCGGGCCUCGCGUGUCCUGACACUGCAGCAGGCACGGGAUGUGGGCUGUCCCCUCCAGCACAGUGCGGGAAGGUGCUGGGGCAUCCAAACAGCAAAAGCAAACCUGAGACCCCAAAACAACUGCGUCUGGCCCAGGGGAGUGGGCAAAAAUUCCAACAGGGAGAGACCGUCUCUGGCUUAUUUACAGACAGGGUAAGUAAGGAUGCCCAAAGACAAGGCGGAGUAUUAGUAACAGAACUCAUGAAGUUCUAUGGAUCGGGAUGCUUUAAAAAAAAAAAAAAAACACCAAAGCUCAUCCAGAAUGUCUGAGGUCCCUGCAGUAACAUCCAUGCUAAUUGGUAAGUAAGACAAAGCCUCCCCUAACAAAUCAGCAAUGUAAUUAUAAAGCCAGUCACUAGAUCAAGCCAGUCUCCUGUGCUCCAGCGAUAUUCUGAACCUGUAACCCGAUACCACUGUUUGCUGCCGGCGCCUCCUCCGGGCUCUCCCGCUGCGCACCGGCCGCGCGGGGGCCCGCAGGGCAACGCAGCCUAGGCUGUUUGUGCAAGAUGAGACCCUGCAUUUGACGAAGACCUGCAGGAGCAAUCCUCCCGGCUUUCUUGACAGUGAAGAAGAAGAAGAAGAAAAAAAAAGCCUGACGAUACACUGAAAUUCGAACAGGAAGUCAAGCCCCAAGUAAAUUUAAGAAACAACUUUUACUGUUUGGGGUUGUUUUCUAAAGUCCAAAUUUUUAAAAUUCUAGUUUCUCCUCUCAGAUUUUUACAUGCUCCUAUUAAAUUGAAGGCAAUUUCCAAUACUGGAGAAGAAAGCUAUUAGUGCUCCAUGUAAACAAGCACGCCCAAUUCAAGUUGGAACUCUUUAAAUUCUGGAAGACAGCACAUCACAUCCAGCCACGAGGGGGCGCAGCCGAGCAGCAAGGAGCGCAAAAGUCUCAUUCUUCACUGCAAUUUCUACCUACAGCUCUCUCAAAGUAUACACAUUUUCAAGAUUGUUUCCAAAUUCAGGUAUCCACAGGACACUGCUAAGCAAGCUGGGAGCUUUGCCAAGGCCAAAAUAAAUUAAAUUAUGGUACGGUUCAAACUCUGGAAGUACUGUGUAUAGGAAAGGUUGUUUCUCUGUAUAUAAAAGUUAAUACUGGUAUUUCAAAAACCAUGGUUAAAAUCCCUGGAGGAUUCCUGAAAUGAGAACAAACACACAACAACAAACACACACCCAAGUCAUGAGAUGUGAACGUGGAGAAACCAACAGUUCAGAAUUUCCAGUGGGGCUUGCAACAUGGACUCCCAAUAAAACAAUGAGUCUCAAUAAAUUCGGCACUAAGCUUUUACCAGUAUAGAUAGACGCCUUUACUGGGCCUACUUACUACUUCUUAAUAACUAUAAAUUAUCUCCAUACUGAACAGAUACUGCUUCAGGCAGUUAUUUGGGAAAACCCUUCAUAAAGGACAUUGGAGAGGGGCCAUUUAAUUAUAAAAUGUAACACAGUUAACCUUAGGGAGAUGAUGAAGCGAGAUCAUUAUGUGUAACUACUUGCUGGGAUUCUUUCUAUUUAAAUUAUAAGUUCAGGUUAUAUGAUGUUGUAUGUUCAAUAAUAAUGCUCAUAAUAGAUGAAAUGUUAUAAUGAGUCUCCACAUUUGAAAAUUGGAAACUAUAAACAUAUCUAUAUUUUAUAAUCAUUUGAAUUGUGAUACUACUUCAUAAUAAUUUGGUGUCAGAGUAUGUUUUUAGCAUUUUGAGUCUAAGGCCUCAUUAACAUUAGGGUAAGGAACUCUCAGAUUUGACAAUUUUUCCCAUAAGAUUACGUGCUUUACUAGUAAAGACUAGCCAGCAUUGCCCAACCUCCCAUUCUCGGGCAUAAUGAAAAUAUUUUUUCUCCUGUAUUUAUAAUUGCUUGGAUGGGAUUCUGUUUCAAUCCUCCUGUAGCAUCUUUUCCCUAAAGAUACACUGUUUUUCUCCCUCACACUAGAGACCCUUAAUAAACAAUGUCAAGGAGGUGGGGAACUUAGAGUAGAAAGGAAAGGCUUUGCCAAAAGUAUGUGACAGUUUUUGUGUUUAAAAAAAAAAAAAAA
rnacentral:lncRNA from 1 species